rnacentral:rRNA from 1 species
AUGAUCCAGAGUACCACGGGACACGUGAAACCCUGUGGGAAGCAGGAGGGACCAUCCUCCAAGCCUAAAUACUACCUAGUGACCGAUAGCGCAUAGUACCGUGAGGGAAAGGUGAAAAGAACCCCGGGAGGGGAGUGAAAUAGAACCUGAAACCCUGCACUUACAAGCUGUGGGAGCACAUUACUUGUGUGACCGCGUACUUUUUGUAGAACGGGCCAACGAGUUACGUUAAGUAGCAAGGUUAAGCACUUAAGGUGUGGAGCCGUAGCGAAAGCGAGUCUUAAAUGGGCGAUUAAGUUACUUGGCGUAGACCCGAAACCGGGCGACCUAUCCAUGAGCAGGUUGAAGCGAAAGUAAAAUUUCGUGGAGGACCGAACCCACGAGCGUUGAAAAGCUCGGGGAUGACUUGUGGAUAGCGGUGAAAUUCCAAUCGAGCCCGGAGAUAGCUGGUUCUCCCCGAAAUAGCUUUAGGGCUAGCCUCAAGCGUAGAGAAACGGAGGUAGAGCACUGAAUGUCCUAGGGGGUAUUGCACUUACCGAAGACUAUCAAACUCCGAAUGCCGUUUUCUUUUACUUGGGAGUCAGACUGUGGGUGAUAAGAUUCAUAGUCAAAAGGGCAACAGCCCAGAUCGUCAGCUAAGGUCCCUAAAUGUACGUUAAGUGGUAAAGGAUGUGGGAUUGCACAGACAACCAGGAUGUUGGCUUAGAAGCAGCCACUCAUUUAAAGAGUGCGUAAUAGCUCACUGGUCGAGUGAUCCUGCGCCGAAAAUUUCCGGGGCUAAAACGUACUACCGAAGCUACGGCAUCAUUUAUGAUGGGUAGGGGAGCUUCGUAUGCAGGCUGAAGCAUGACCGUAAGGACAUGUGGACAGUAUACGAGUGAGAAUGUUGGCAUGAGUAGCGAGACGUGGGUGAGAAUCCCACGGGCCGUAAACCCAAGGUUUCCAGGGGAAGGUUCGUCCGCCCUGGGUUAGUCGGGACCUAAGCCGAGGCCGAAAGGCGUAGGUGAUGGACAACAGGUUGAUAUUCCUGUACCGCCAAUAAGCGUUUGAGAGAUGGAGUGACACAGUAGGAUAAGCUAACCGUACUGUUGGUUAUGUACGGCUAAGCAUUGAGGCAGUCUAAAUAGGCAAAUCCGUUUAGACAAUGCUAGGAUGUGAUGGGGAAGCCCUUCGGGGCGAAGUAGCUGAUUUCACACUGUCAAGAAAAGCUUCUAUCGAGUUUAAAGGCGCCCGUACCGUAAACCGACACAGGUGGGUGAGGAGAGUAUCCUAAGGCCAGCGAGAGAACUAUUGUUAAGGAACUCGGCAAAAUGACCCCGUAACUUAGGGAGAAGGGGUGCCUGUCUAUGACAGGCCGCAGAGAAUAGGCCCAAGCGACUGUUUACCAAAAACACAGGUUUCUGCUAAGUCGCAAGACGAUGUAUAGGAGCUGACGCCUGCCCGGUGCUGGAAGGUUAAGGGGAUCUGUUAGAGCAAUCGAAGCAGUGAACUUAAGCCCCAGUAAACGGCGGCCGUAACUAUAACGGUCCUAAGGUAGCGAAAUUCCUUGUCGGGUAAGUUCCGACCCGCACGAAAAAUCCCGGUGAAGAUGCCGGGUACCUGCGACAGGACGGAAAGACCCCAUGGAGCUUUACUGUAGCUUGACGUUGGGUCUUGGUACUACAUGUACAGGAUAGGUGGGAGACUAUGAAGCAUGGACGCCAGUCUGUGUGGAGUCAUCCUUGGGAUACCACCCUUGUAGUACUGGGAUCCUAACCAUAGGCCUUGAAUCAGGUCUUGGAACACCGUCAGGUGGGCAGUUUGACUGGGGCGGUCGCCUCCUAAAAAGUAACGGAGGCGCUCAAAGGUUUCCUCAGCACGGUCGGAAAUCGUGCGAAGAGUGUAAAGGCAAAAGGAAGCUUGAUUGCAAGACAUACAGGUCGAGCAAGGACGAAAGUCGGACUUAGUGAUCCGGUGGUACCGCAUGGAAGGGCCAUCGCUCAACGGAUAAAAGCUACCCUGGGGAUAACAGGCUUAUCUCCCCCAAGAGUCCACAUCGACGGGGAGGUUUGGCACCUCGAUGU